rnacentral:tRNA from 3 species
GGAGAGUUGGCUGAGCGGUCGAAAGCACCCGCCUGGAGAGCGGGUAACUGGGUCAAACUGGUUCGGGGGUUCGAAUCCCUCACUCUCCGCCA